UUAAGUAAGUAAGGGCGUACGGUGGAUGCCUAGGCACUUGAAACUGAAGAAGGACGCAACAAACGGCGAAACGCGACGGGGAGUGGUACGUACACGAAGAUCCGUCGAUAUCCGAAUGGGGGAACCCGGCACGGGCAAUACCGUGUCAUCCAUGGAUGAACACAUAGUCCAUGAGAGAGGUACCCGGAGAACUGAAACAUCUAAGUACCCGGAGGAAAAGAAAACAAAAGUGAUUCCCAUAGUAGCGGCGAGCGAACAGGGAGGAGCCCAAACCGAUCCUUGGAUCGGGGUAGUAGGACCACGAGAUGGCAAGAACAUGGUUAGGAGAACGACAUUGAAAGGUCGACCAUAGGGGGUGCAAGUCCCGUAACCGAAAACGAUGGGAAGCCUAGUGGGAUCCUGAGUACGGCGAGACACGAGAAAUCUUGUCGGAAGCAGGCGGGACCAUCCGUCAAGGCUAAAUAUAAACAAGUGACCGAUAGCGAACCAGUACCGUGAGGGAAAGGUGAAAAGAACCGCGGGAGCGGAGUGAAAGAGAACCUGAAACCGUAUGCCUACAAGAAGUCAGAGCCCGUUAAAGGGUGAUGGCGUGCCUUUUGUAGAAUGAACCGGCGAGUUAUGUUAUCGUGCGAGGUUAAGUAGGAGAUACGGAGCCGAAGCGAAAGCGAGUCUUAAUAGGGCGGGAGUACGAUGACAUAGACCCGAAACCGUGUGAUCUAGCCAUGGCCAGGUUGAAGUUCAGGUGAAACUGAAUGGAGGACCGAACCGACCACCGUUGAAAAGUUGGCGGAUGAGCUGUGGCUAGGGGAGAAAUUCCAAUCGAACACGGAUAUAGCUGGUUCUCCCCGAAAUAGCUUUAGGGCUAGCGUCGAGAGGAGAGACAUGUGGAGGUAGAGCACUGAAUGUACGAUGGCCCCAUCCCGGGGUACUGAGUAUAAUCAAACUCCGAAUGCCAUAUGCCAUGCUCGGCAGUCAGACUGUGGGUGAUAAGGUCCAUGGUCGAGAGGGAAACAGCCCAGACCGCCAGUUAAGGUCCCAAAAUGUAUGCUAAGUGGAAAAGGAUGUGGGGAUGCACAGACAACUAGGAGGUUGGCUCAGAAGCAGCCACCCUUCAAAGAGUGCGUAACAGCUCACUAGUCGAGUGACCCUGCGCCGAAAAUGUACCGGGGCUAAGCAUACUACCGAAACUGCGGAUUUGUAGCAAUACAAGUGGUAGGGGAGCGUUGCAUGCACGUAGAAGCCAUAUCGAGAGGAAUGGUGGAGAGCAUGGAAGUGAGAAUGCCGGUGUGAGUAGCGAGAUGUAGGUGAGAAUCCUACACACCGAUAGCCCAAGGAUUCCAGGGGAAGGUUCGUCCGCCCUGGGUAAGUCGGGACCUAACGCGAGGCCGAAAGGCGUAGUGGAUGGAAAACAGGCAGAUAUUCCUGUACCCGCGAUAUGAGCGACGGAAUGACGGAGAAGGCUAGUAUGACCCACUUAACGGAUUGUGGGCGAAGCGGGAUAGCAGGGCGCCAGUGAAAUGCGGCGCCAGGAUGCAAGACGUGAUAGGUAAGCGAACGGCUGCGGCCAAGUAGCGAAGCAUAUGAAGCCAGCUUCCAGGAAAAGUUUCUAGCAAUGAUAUAGCGGCCCGUACCAAAACCGACACAGGUGGGCAAGGAGAGAAUCCUGAGGUGAGCGAGAGAACUGUUGCCAAGGAACUCGGCAAAAAGACUCCGUAAGUUAGCGAGAAGGAGUGCUUAUGUAAAAGUAAGCCGCAGUGAAGAGGCCCAAGCGACUGUUUAACUAAAACACAGCUCUCUGCAAAGUCGCAAGACGAAGUAUAGGGGGUGACGCCUGCCCGGUGCUGGAAGGUUAAGAGGAUUUGUCAGCGUAAGCGAAGCAAUGAAUUGAAGCCCCAGUGAACGGCGGCCGUAACUAUAACGGUCCUAAGGUAGCGAAAUUCCUUGUCAGGUAAGUUCUGACCCGCACGA
rnacentral:rRNA from 1 species